UCUACCCAAGGGUAGGGGUAAGGUCUGCGUACACACUACCCUCCCCAGACCCCACUAAGUGGGAUUAUACUGGGUUGUUAUUGUUGUUGUUGUUAUGGUUUCCAAAAUAAAAAAUAGCUUCCAUCAUUCAGUAGUUUCCGCUUUAACCCGGUCUAGCUAGUUACUAGAUAAUCAUAUACUUUAAGCUAGCGAUAGGUAUGUACUUUCUUCUAUUGACAUAUACUUACAGUGGUGUAUACUAACAAUACAUCUUUGUAUAUGCAUGAAGGGAAAACUUGAAAAAUACUUUGGAAGAACUAUCAUCAGACAAUUUAUUAAGGAAUAGUCUUAAUACCAAUCUAGUAAUUGUAAAGCAAGGGACAACAUAUGUAUGGAAGUUGUUAAAAUAGAAGCAGACUAUGAUGGCAUAGUUUUAGAGCAUUCAUGGAGAUCCUUCAUAUCUGAUAAAAGAGAAACGGACUAUUAUUUCAUAGUCUAGUUUCUGGCUAUUCAUGGAGAAUGUUCACAUCUGACUCUCUUUUUUCUGUCAUGUUAGGGUCCUUAAACAUUAUCGCAUAUAUUUAUAUCAGCAUGACCUCUCCCUGAAAAGAUGCACUUUUUCCUUAUUGAGUAAUUUGUGUUGGUUUUCUGUGCUGAAUCACAUUCAAAGGUAUGAUGACAGUAUAAGCAUCCUUGUUUUUUUUAAUAAUAGUAGACAUGGUGUCCGGUUCAGCUUGCGUCCUCGAUUAUUUCCACAUGAUACCUGCUACCUCCCACUAGCACAUGUACCUAAAACUAUCCACCUAAGCUUGGACAUGGGAAGAAAUCCUCUAGUGGUUUUGCCUCCGCUGGAAUUUGAACCCGAGAUCUCAUGGUUUUCAACCUACUUCAUUAACCACUAGGCCACACCCUUGAGUGCCCUUCUUUGUUUCUUUUUGGGGUGGUUAUUUUCCUGGCUAUGAUAAGGAUUGCGCCAAAGAGAAUUUCUGUUAUCCUGAUUUAGUUGUGAUAUCUUGCUUUUGUUCUUUAGUAUGUGCAAGCAACUUGAUGCAAAAGGGUUGCAUCAGGAGAGCAAAGUGAUUUCCAACAUAUGGUGGAGCUCUUAAAGGCGAUUCAGAUGGUAAGCUUGCAUAUCAAUUUCCAAAGUUCUACUUUCUAACAUAAUAGAAAAUUGGGAAUUCAAGCACUACGGUGAGCUCUUAAAGGCGAUACAGAUGGUAAGCUUGCAUAUCAAUUGCCAAAGUUCUACUUUCCAACAUAAUAGAAAAUUGGGAAUUCAAGCAGUACAAUGCAAUCGUGCUACCACCUCUAUGCGUAAAAUGGGAAUGAAGAGUUAAUGAAGGUAUUUCGCUAAGACUUG
rnacentral:lncRNA from 1 species